rnacentral:rRNA from 1 species
GACGAACGCUGGCGGCGUGCUUAACACAUGCAAGUCGAACGAUGAAGCCGGAGCUUGCUCUGGUGAAUUAGUGGCGAACGGGUGAGUAACACGUGAGUAACCUGCCCUUGACUCUGGGAUAACUGCGGGAAACUGUAGCUAAUACCGGAUACGACCCUCGGAGGCAUCUCCUGGGGGUGGAAAGAAUUUCGGUCAAGGAUGGACUCGCGGCCUAUCAGCUAGUUGGUGAGGAAAGGCUCACCAAGGCGACGACGGGUAGCCGGCCUGAGAGGGUGACCGGCCACACUGGGACUGAGACACGGCCCAGACUCCUACGGGAGGCAGCAGUGGGGAAUACUGCACAAUGGGCGCAAGCCUGAUGCAGCAACGCCGCGUGAGGGAUGACGGCCUUCGGGUUGUAAACCUCUUUUAGCAGGGAAGAAGCGAAAGUGACGGUACCUGCAGAAAAAGCACCGGCUAACUACGUGCCAGCAGCCGCCGUAA